rnacentral:siRNA from 1 species
CGAUAAUCUUGUGUCCGACAAUGG